rnacentral:rRNA from 1 species
GAUUAAGCCAUGCAUGUCUAAGUAUAAGCAAUUAUACCGUGAAACUGCGAAUGGCUCAUUAAAUCAGUUAUCGUUUAUUUGAUAGUACCUUACUACUUGGAUAACCGUGGUAAUUCUAGAGCUAAUACAUGCUGAAAACCCCGACUUCGGAAGGGGUGUAUUUAUUAGAUAAAAAACCAAUGCCCUUCGGGGCUCCUGGUGAUUCAUAAUAACUUCUCAGAUCGCAUGGCCUUGCGCCGGCGACGGUUCAUUCAAAUUUCUGCCCUAUCAACUUUCGAUGGUAAGGUAUUGGCUUACCAUGGUUUCAACGGGUAACGGGGAAUUAGGGUUCGAUUCCGGAGAGGGAGCCUGAGAAACGGCUACCACAUCCAAGGAAGGCAGCAGGCGCGCAAAUUACCCAAUCCCGACACGGGGAGGUAGUGACAAUAAAUACUGAUACAGGGCUCUUUUGGGUCUUGUAAUUGGAAUGAGUACAAUUUAAACCUCUUAACGAGGAACAAUUGGAGGGCAAGUCUGGUGCCAGCAGCCGCGGUAAUUCCAGCUCCAAUAGCGUAUAUUAAAGUUGUUGCAGUUAAAAAGCUCGUAGUUGAACCUUUGGCCUGGCUGGCAGGUCCGCCUCACCGCGUGCACUUGUCCGGCCGGGCCUUUUCUUCUGGAGAACCGCAUGCCCUUCACUGGGUGUGUUGGGGACCAGGACUUUUACUUUGAAAAAAUUAGAGUGUUCAAAGCAGGCCUUUGCUCGAAUACGUUAGCAUGGAAUAAUAGAAUAGGACGUGCGGUCCUAUUUUGUUGGUUUCUAGGACCGCCGUAAUGAUUAAUAGGGACAGUCGGGGGCAUCAGUAUUCAAUUGUCAGAGGUGAAAUUCUUGGAUUUAUUGAAGACUAACUACUGCGAAAGCAUUUGCCAAGGAUGUUUUCAUUAAUCAGUGAACGAAAGUUAGGGGAUCGAAGACGAUCAGAUACCGUCGUAGUCUUAACCAUAAACUAUGCCGACUAGGGAUCGGGCGAUGUUAUUAUUUUGACUCGCUCGGCACCUUACGAGAAAUCAAAGUGUGUGGGUUCUGGGGGGAGUAUG